GACGAACGCUGGCGGCGCGCCUAACACAUGCAAGUCGAGCGAUGAAAUUUUAACCGAUCUCUUCGGAGAGAAGAUAAAAUGGAUUAGCGGCGGACGGGUGAGUAACACGUGAGAAACCUGCCUUUCACAAGGGGAUAGCCUCGGGAAACCGGGAUUAAUACCCUAUGACACAUUUCCUUCGCAUGGAAGAAAUGUUAAAACUCCGGUGGUGAAAGAUGGUCUCGCGCCUCAUUAGCUAGUUGGUGGGGUAACGGCCCACCAAGGCCAUGAUCAGUAACCGGGAUGAGAGAGGGAACGGUGACGUUGGAAGUGAGACACAGUCGAAAAUCCUACGGGAGGGAGCAGUGGCGAAUAUAGCAAAAGGGAGGGAACGAUGAAGCAGCGACGACGGGUAAGCUAUGAAGGCUUUGAAGAAAAAAAGCUCUGUCCUAUGGGAAGAUAAUGACGGUACCAAAGGAGAAAGCCACGGCUAACUACGUG
rnacentral:rRNA from 1 species